AGCUCCAAUAGCGUAUAUUAAAGUUGUUGCGGUUAAAAAGCUCGUAGUUGGAUUUCUGCUGAGGAUACCUGGUCCGCCCUCUGGGUGUGUAUCUUGUGUAGCCUUGGCAUCUUCCUGAAGAACGUAGCUGCACUUGACUGUGUGGUGCGGUAUUCAGGACAUUUACUUUGAGGAAAUUAGAGUGUUUCAAGCAAGCGCACGCCUUGAAUACAUUAGCAUGGAAUAAUAAGAUAGGACCUCGGUUCUAUUUUGUUGGUUUCUAGAGCUGAGGUAAUGAUUGAUAGGGAUAGUUGGGGGCAUUCGUAUUUAACUGUCAGAGGUGAAAUUCUCGGAUUUGUUAAAGACGGACUACUGCGAAAGCAUUUGCCAAGGAUGUUUUCAUUGAUCAAGAACGAAAGUA
rnacentral:rRNA from 1 species